rnacentral:rRNA from 1 species
AACGAACGCUGGCGGCAUGCCUAACACAUGCAAGUCGAACGAGACCUUCGGGUCUAGUGGCGCACGGGUGCGUAACGCGUGGGAACCUGCCCUUAGGUUCGGAAUAACUCCCCGAAAGGGGUGCUAAUACCUGAUAAUGUCUUCGGACCAAAGAUUUAUCGCCUUUGGAUGGGCCCGCGUUGGAUUAGCUAGUUGGUAGGGUAAAAGCCUACCAAGGCGACGAUCCAUAGCUGGUCUGAGAGGAUGAUCAGCCACACUGGGACUGAGACACGGCCCAGACUCCUACGGGAGGCAGCAGUGGGGAAUAUUGGACAAUGGGCGAAAGCCUGAUCCAGCAAGGCCGCGUGAGUGAUGAAGGCCUUAGGGUUGUAAAGCUCUUUUACCCGGGAUGAUAAUGACAGUACCGGGAGAAUAAGCUCCGGCUAACUACGUG